AUGGAGAUCCAGCCCCGUCUCCUGUGGGCAGUGGUAGCCUCAGUGCUGUUGGCAGGCUGCAGCCUGGAAGACAGAGUUACUCAGCAGCAGGCAUUUGCAUCCGGGCUGGAGCGCGGAUCCGUGACCCUGGACUGCACCUACGAGACCGAGGAGACCUGUUAUAAUUUGUACUGGUACAAGCAGCACCCCGGGGACAGCCUGGCUUUCCUUCUGUGGGAAAAUUCUAGAGGAUCAAAAAGAAAUGAGGCAGGGAAGAGGUUCUCGGUUGAUUUCCAGAGUUCCCACCGCUCCUUCCUCCUGAGGAUCUCCGAGCUUCAGCUGGGUGACUCGGCCACGUACUUUUGCGCUUUCAGCAGAGGCAUGAUGAUAAAACUGAGAGAGAGCCCUAAUGUCACCGAGGGACACUUCAAGGGCGAGUGGCUGGAGACUGGUCGGAAGAACUCCCUGGACCUCGCUGGGACGUGA